rnacentral:rRNA from 1 species
UAUUAUAGUAAUAAUUUUUAUAAAUAUAAUAAUUUAAUUGUUAUUAAAAAUUAAAAAUUUUGGCAGUAUUUUAUAUAUUUAGAGGAAUUUGUUUAUUAAUUGAUAUUCCACAAUAAAUUUUACUUAUUUUAUUAUUAAUUUAUAUAUCGUUGUCAAAAAUUUUUCUAAAAUUAGUUAAUUUUUUAAAUUAAAAAUAAUUAAAUAUGUCAAAUCAAGAUAUAAUUUAUAAAUAAGAAUUUAAUGAAUUACAAUAAAUAUAUUUAUAUGAAUUAAAAAUUGAAAUAUUUUUUUAAAGGUGGAUUUAAAAGUAAAUAAAAAUAAAUAAUUUUUUUGAAAUAUAUUAAAAAUAAGUAUAUAUCGCCCGUCACUUUCAAUAAAUGAAAAAA